UGCAGGAGUAUCUCAGCAGGUCAGGGCAGGGCAGGGUCUCUGGAGAACCUGGAUAGGUGAUGUGUUGGGUUAAGGCCCUUCGUUACCAUGGAGAAAUGUUAUCUAUGCCAGAAGAAUAAGUAUAUAAUAUAGAAAUAAGUCACUUUAGACUUUACUUUAACUUUAGAGGUGCAGCGCAGAAAUAGACCCUUCAACACACUGACCAAUGAUCACUAACACUACACUAGCGACAAUUUACAAUUUACCUACAAACCUGAAUGUUUUUGGAAUGAGAGGGUAAACUAGAGCACCCGGAGAAACCCCCCCGCAGGGAAUCACAGGGAGGAACGUGCAAACUCCAUACAGACAGGCACCCGUGGUCAGGAUCGAACCCGGGUCUACGGCGCUGAAAGGCAGCAGCUCUACCGCUGCGCCCAGCCACACCACACCACCCUGUGUGCCGCCCAAAUACAAACACGAAGCAACAGAGCGGAGACGGGAAAGCAGUGAGACUCCUCCUGGCUUCACAUGAAGAGUGCAGACCGCUGCUGGCUACUGCCCCCCACCAGCUCCUCCCUGCUCACAGUCACAGAUACAAAGUGCCAGCCUCCUUCCUUGCUGACAAACCGAAAUCGUCUUUGUGACCAGCGUCCCCCCGCACACCAGUCACGUCCUGAGCCCACAAGGCAGCCAAUCUUCCAUGGUUUAGGAGUGAUUGGAUUUGAUGUGGAGCCUUGUAGCUGCUGCUGGAUUGAAACCUCCACCACCCACAUUGCCUGGCAGUCCCAGCUGGGCACAGAACAGUUGAGUUUGCAGGCCAAUGCCUUCGGGAGACGAGACACAAGGAAUAAACAUGGAAAUGGGCCCUUCAGCCGACUGAGUCCAUGCUGAUCACCAAUCACCCAUUCACACCAGUCCUAUGUUGGCCCCAUAACAGAAGCAUCCACGUCGUGGGGCUGGAAACUGGAAGUAUCCCGAGCUAAUUCUGCUACCACCAUCAUCUAUUGCAACCAGUGAUGGCUCCCACUAAUUGUUGCCAGAAGCCUGCGUCCUUUUCAAGACAGACGAUGACAGCGAUGUCAACAUUUGAAACAUGGAAGAUGGGCAUGAAAGAAGAAGUUCUAUGUUAUCCCACAUUCUCUCCCACCUCCUACACACUAGUGGUGAUUUUACCUACUGUCGGCCAAUUAACCUACAAACCCAUCUUUGGGACCUGUGAGGAAACCCACGUGUUCAUAGGGAGAAUGUGCAAACUCCACACAGAUAGCAGCCGAGAUCAGGAUCGAACCCGGGUCUCUGGCGCUGUGAGGCAGCAGCACUGCCAGCUGAGCCACCGUGCCAUUCUCUACAGGAAUUAUCAAAGUAGCUCUAAAAUUCAGCUCGUUCAAUUAUAUCUCCUUCAUGCAGUCACUUCAACUGUAUCUCAACCUCUUCUCAACCUCAACCCAGCACACAGACUGUUCUCCUUGUUAACGUCAGGCAGACGAUACACGGGCAUGGCUGCACGCACCACCAGACUUAAGAACGGUUUUUACCAUCAGGCCAUCAGGUUUCUGAACUCAUAAACACAUUUCACAUCAUAUAUGUUGAUUAUUUUAUUAUUGUCUUUUUACCUUACCAAUGUCAUUUUGAUCUCAUUUAUCCUUGUUAUAUUAUUGCUGAGGUGACCCGUUGUCUUGUCAAACACAUUUCAUUGUACCGUUGACCCUGUGUUAUCUUACAUAUGACAAAUAAAAGUGAAUUUAACUGAAUUGA